UACGUAGGGGGCAAGCGUUGUCCGGAUUUAUUGGGCGUAAAGAGCUCGUAGGUGGUUCGGUAAGUCGGAUGUGAAAUCUCCAGGCUCAACCUGGAGGGGUCAUUCGAUACUGCCGUGACUAGAGGUCGGUAGGGGAGUGUGGAAUUCCUGGUGGAGCGGUGAAAUUCGUAGAUAUUGGGAAGAACACCGGUGGCGAAGGCGGCGCUCUGGACCGAGACUGACGCUGAGGCGCGAAAGCGUGGGGAGCAAACAGG
rnacentral:rRNA from 1 species